rnacentral:rRNA from 1 species
GAUGAACGCUGGCGGCGUGCCUAAUACAUGCAAGUCGAACGAAGAGAGAAGCUUGCUUCUCUUUUAGUGGCGAACGGGUGAGUAAUACAUAAGCAACCUACCCAUACGACCGGGAUAACAGUUGGAAACGACUGCUAAUACCGGAUAGGUGACCGGGGGACAUCCCCUGAUCAUUAAAGCUGGGACACAGCACGAAUGGAUGGGCUUAUGGCGCAUUAGUUAGUUGGCGGGGUAACGGCCCACCAAGACGAUGAUGCGUAGCCGACCUGAGAGGGUGACCGGCCACACUGGGACUGAGACACGGCCCAGACUCCUACGGGUGGCUG